UACGUAGGGCGCAAGCGUUGUCCGGAAUUAUUGGGCGUAAAGAGCUCGUAGGCGGCUUGUCACGUCGAUUGUGAAAGCCCGAGGCUUAACUUCGGGUCUGCAGUCGAUACGGGCUAGCUAGAGUGUGGUAGGGGAGAUCGGAAUUCCUGGUGUAGCGGUGAAAUGCGCAGAUAUCAGGAGGAACACCGGUGGCGAAGGCGGAUCUCUGGGCCAUUACUGACGCUGAGGCACGAAGGUCAGGGGAGCAAACGGG
rnacentral:rRNA from 1 species